AACGAACGCUGGCGGCAGGCUUAACACAUGCAAGUCGAGCGCAGGAAGCUGACGGAACUCUUCGGAGGGAAGGCAGUGGAAUGAGCGGCGGACGGGUGAGUAACACGUAAGGAACCUGCCUCAAGGAUUGGGAUAACUCCGAGAAAUCGGAGCUAAUACCGGAUAGUUCAACGGACCGCAUGGUCCGCUGAUGAAAGGCGCUCCGGCGUCACCUUGAGAUGGCCUUGCGGUGCAUUAGCUAGUUGGUGGGGUAACGGCCCACCAAGGCGACGAUGCAUAGCCGACCUGGGAAGGGGAUCGGCCACACUGGGACUGAGACACGGCCCAGACUCCUACGGGAGGCAGCAGUAGGGAAUCUUCCACAAGGGACGAAAGUCUGAUGGAGCAACGCCGCGUGAGUGAUGAAGGUUUUCGGAUCGUAAAACUCUGUUGUAAGGGAAGAACACGUACGAGAGGGAAUGCUCGUACCUUGACGGUACCUUACGAGAAAGCCACGGCUAACCACGUGCCAGCCGCCGCCGUAACAC
rnacentral:rRNA from 1 species